rnacentral:rRNA from 1 species
CAAGGCUUGACAUGGAUUUCUAAGCGCGUGAAAGCGCGUGACCCUUCGGGGGACUUCCACAGGUGCUGCAUGGCCGUCGUCAGCUCGUGUCGUGAGAUGUUGGGUUAAGUCCCGCAACGAGCGCAACCCUUGUGACUAGUUGCCAGCGGGUAAUGCCGGGAACUCUAGUCAGACUGCCCAGAUCAACUGGGAGGAAGGUGGGGACGACGUCAGGUCAGUAUGGCCCUUACGCCUUGGGCUGCACACGUACUACAAUGCCCAGCACAAUGAGAACCGAUGCCGCGAGGUGGAGGAAAUCUGCAAAACUGGGCCCAGUUCGGAUUGGAGGCUGCAACUCGCCUCCAUGAAGUUGGAAUCGCUAGUAAUGGCGCAUCAUCUACGGCGCCGUGAAUACGUUCCC